rnacentral:lncRNA from 1 species
UCUUCCAGCCCCAUUCCCUUGCUGCACAACUGACCAUCAGCCACCUCCAGAUCACAGUGGGGAGCCCAGUCUCUGGCCAGUUCCAAGUGGGCUGGUUCGGCAAAUAUCAGGUAGUUUAGAUUUGACUCAGUUUAGAAAGACAGGUGUGUACCUGUCUUUGAGCAAAGCUGAGAAAUUGGAAAUAGUUGUGUUCAGAAAAGAGUUAAGAAUGUCCCUAUAAUUCUCAGUAUGGGGCAUGCUG